rnacentral:rRNA from 1 species
UAGGGAAUCUUCGGCAAUGGACGAAAGUCUGACCGAGCAACGCCGCGUGAGUGAAGAAGGUUUUCGGAUCGUAAAACUCUGUUGUUAGAGAAGAACAAGGACGUUAGUAACUGUACGUCCCCUGACGGUAUCUAACCAGAAAGCCACGGCUAACUACGUGCCAGCAGCCGCGGUAAUACGUAGGUGGCAAGCGUUGUCCGGAUUUAUUGGGCGUAAAGCGAGCGCAGGCGGUUUCUUAAGUCUGAUGUGAAAGCCCCCGGCUCAACCGGGGAGGGUCAUUGGAAACUGGGAGACUUGAGUGCAGAAGAGGAGAGUGGAAUUCCAUGUGUAGCGGUGAAAUGCGUAGAUAUAUGGAGGAACACCAGUGGCGAAGGCGGCUCUCUGGUCUGUAACUGACGCUGAGUCUCGAAAGCGUGGGGAGCAAACAGG